CCUACUACUGUACCCGCG
rnacentral:snRNA from 1 species